GAGACUGGAUCUCACUCAGUGACCAGACUCUACUCCAGUAAACCAAAGUAUGACAGUCUGCUCCACAAGAAGUUACGAGAGAAGAAUGCCAGUUUGAGGAGACACUUGGUGGAUUCUGUCCAUCAGAUGUACCUGGUGUCUGCCAAAGAUCUACACAACACAAGUCUCCAACUCCAUAAGUCAAAGGCUUUGAUUGGGGAUCUCUCCCACAAUAUGAGGAAUCUGACCAAUGACUUGUUUCACUUGGAGGACAGGGUAGACAUCAUAACUUCCUGUAUGAUCCUACCAGACAUCAAUAUUAAUGUCAGUGGAACCUCAGUGUCACAAUGAGAGAGAGAGAGAGAGAGAGAGAGAGAGAUUUGUAUAUAGCAUUAUUUACAUAUGAAAAUUAUUUAAAAAUAAUUAAAUUGCUUAUUAAGUUACAUGUAUAUUGAUUAUAAAUAUCAUAGUUUAAUUUAUAAUACCUGUGUAAUAAACAAUAUU
rnacentral:misc_RNA from 1 species